rnacentral:rRNA from 1 species
UUCCGGUUGAUCCUGCCGGAGGUUACUGCUAUUGGAAUCCGAUUAAGCCAUGCGAGUCGAUCGGGUUUAGACCCGAGGCACACUGCUCAGUAACGCGUGGAGAAUCUGCCCUUAGGUGAGAGAUAACCUCGGGAAACUGAGAAUAAUAUCUCAUAGGUUAUGAAUGCUGGAACGCUUCAUAGCUAAAAGCCCUGGCGCCUAAGGAUGACUCUGCGGACUAUCAGGUAGUAGUCAGGGUAAUAACCUGACUAGCCUACGACGGAUACGGGGUGUGAGAGCACUAGCCCGGAGAUGGAUUCUGAGACACGAAUCCAGACCCUAAGGGGUGCAGCAGGCGCGAAACUUCCGCAAUGCUCGCAAGAGUGACGGAGGGAUUCCAAGUGCCUGUGCAAUGCGUAGGCUGUUCUCAUGUCUAAAUAACAUGGGGAGUAAGAGCUGGGUAAGACGGGUGCCAGCCGCCGCGGUAAUACCUGCGGCUCGAGUGGUAACCACUAUUAUUGGGCCUAAAGCGUCCGUAGCCGGUUUAGUAAAUAUCUGGGUAAAUCGUGAGGCUUAGCUUCACGAAUUUCGGAUAGACUGCUAGACUUGGGACCGGGGGAGGUCAGAGGUACGCCAGGGGUAGCGGUGAAAUGUUGUAAUCCUUGGAGGACCACCGGUAGCGAAGGCGUCUGACUAGAACGGGUCCGACGGUGAGGGACGAAGCCCUGGGGCGCAAACCGGAUUAGAUAUCCGGGUAGUCCAGGGCGUAAACGCUGCUUGCUUGAUGUUAGUUGGGCUCCGAGCCCAAUUAGUGUCGGAGAGAAGUUGUUAAGCAAGCUGCCUGGAAGUACGGUCGCAAGACUGAAACUUAAAGGAAUUGGCGGGGAGCACAGCACGGGUGGAGCGUGCGGUUUAAUUGGAUCACGCCGG